rnacentral:rRNA from 1 species
UAGAGUUUGAUCCUGGCUCAGAGCGAACGCUGGCGGCAGGCUUAACACAUGCAAGUCGAGCGGGCGUAGCAAUACGUCAGCGGCAGACGGGUGAGUAACGCGUGGGAACGUACCUUUUGGUUCGGAACAACACAGGGAAACUUGUGCUAAUACCGGAUAAGCCCUUACGGGGAAAGAUUUAUCGCCGAAAGAUCGGCCCGCGUCUGAUUAGCUAGUUGGUGAGGUAAUGGCUCACCAAGGCGACGAUCAGUAGCUGGUCUGAGAGGAUGAUCAGCCACAUUGGGACUGAGACACGGCCCAAACUCCUACGGGAGGCAGCAGUGGGGAAUAUUGGACAAUGGGCGCAAGCCUGAUCCAGCCAUGCCGCGUGAGUGAUGAAGGCCCUAGGGUUGUAAAGCUCUUUUGUGCGGGAAGAUAAUGACGGUACCGCAAGAAUAAGCCCCGGCUAACUUCGUGCCAGCAGCCGCGGUAAUACGAAGGGGGCUAGCGUUGCUCGGAAUCACUGGGCGUAAAGGGUGCGUAGGCGGGUCUUUAAGUCAGGGGUGAAAUCCUGGAGCUCAACUCCAGAACUGCCUUUGAUACUGAAGAUCUUGAGUUCGGGAGAGGUGAGUGGAACUGCGAGUGUAGAGGUGAAAUUCGUAGAUAUUCGCAAGAACACCAGUGGCGAAGGCGGCUCACUGGCCCGAUACUGACGCUGAGGCACGAAAGCGUGGGGAGCAAACAGGAUUAGAUACCCUGGUAGUCCACGCCGU